GUAUUACUCCCUCCGUCCGAAAAUUCUUGUCUUAGAUUUGUCUAGAUAUGGAUGUAUCUAAUACUAAAACGUGACUCGAUACAUCCGUAUUUAGACAAAUCGAAGACAAGAAUUUUGGGACGAGGGAGUACCUU
rfam:Triticum aestivum genome assembly, contig: Triticum_aestivum_CS42_TGACv1_scaffold_271674_3DS